ensembl:misc_RNA Y_RNA Y RNA
GGCUGAUCUGAGUACAGUGGUGUUUACAAGUAAUUGAUCACAGCCAGGUACAGAUUCCUUUGUUCCUUCUCCACUCCCACUGCUUCCCUUGGCUAGCCUUUA